rnacentral:rRNA from 1 species
UGUAAGCGUAUACCAAAGUUGUUGCAGUUAAAACGCUCGUAGUCGGAAUUUGGCAGUUCCGGAUGUGUGCACGUCGUGUGCGCACUUCGCGGGGAUUGCUUUUGUGGUCUUGCGUAGGAUGAGGCACUUUUAUUAGUGAACGUCCUCACGCAACCACUUUGUACUGUGAGAAAAUCAGAGUGCUCAAAGCAGGCAUUUGCCGUGAAUGUAUUAGCAUGGAAUAAUAGAAUAGGACUUGGUUCUAUUUUGUUGGUUUGUUGGGACUGAGUAAUGAUUAAGAGGGACAGUUGGGGGCAUUUGUAUUUCGGUGCUAGAGGUGAAAUUCUUAGAUUACCGAAAGACAAACUGCUGCGAAAGCGUCUGCCAAGGAUGUUUUCAUUGA